GGGUUGGUAGCUCAGUCGGUAGAGCAGUGGACUUUUAAUCCAUUGGUCGAGGGUUCGAAUCCCUCCCGACCCACCA
rnacentral:tRNA from 5 species